rnacentral:rRNA from 1 species
AAACCAGCACCUCAAGUGGUCAGGAGGAUUAUUGGGCCUAAAGCAUCCGUAGCCUGUUCUAUAAGUUUCCGGUUAAAUCCACUAGCUCAACUAGUGGGCUGCCGAAAAUACUGUAGAACUAGGGAGUGGGAGAGGUAGACGGUAUUCGGUAGGAAGGGGUAAAAUCCUUUGAUCUAUUGAGGACCACCUGUGGCGAAGGCGGUCUACCAGAACACGUUCGACGGUGAGGGAUGAAAGCUGGGGGAGCAAACCGGAUUAGAAACCCCUGUAGUCC